UACGUAGGGGGCAAGCGUUGUCCGGAAUCAUUGGGCGUAAAGGGCGCGUAGGCGGCUGUACAAGUCAAAGGUGAAAAUCCCUCGGCUCAACUGGAGGAACUGCCUUUGAAACUGUACGCUUGAGGCCGGGAGGGGGUAGCGGAAUUCCCAAUGUAGCGGUGAAAUGCGUAGAUAUUGGGAGGAACACCAGUGGCGAAGGCGGUUCUCUGGGACGGUACUGACGCUGAGACGCGAAAAGCGUGGGGAGCGAAACGAGGA
rnacentral:rRNA from 1 species